rnacentral:lncRNA from 1 species
UGCUUGCAAUGUCAGGCAGCAGCACCAAGAGCUAUGCCACAGAAUCCUCAGCACUUUGCAAACGAGGAAAUGAAAACAAAGGAAGGGAGAAAUUAAAAAGCCCGGCAGAAAGGAUAAAACUGGGGACAUCUGAUCUGGAAUGCUACCAUUACGGUGCUCUCGUGACAUUCGUACUGCAGUACUGACUUGGGAGGCUGCCCUACUUCAGGUAUGACUGGUCUUGUCUUCUGGGAGCAUCUUGAAGGGGAAACAUGGAGUCAAUCAGCACGCCUAUGCAACGUGCAGGAAGAGAGAUUAGCCCUGGUGUGAACUGACCAAAGAGGUGCGCAUGGGAGACAUGGGGUUGAAAUCCCAAGAUGACUGCAGCCUCCUCUCCAAACACUGGCAUCGGUAGUGAUCUGUGUCCUCAGCUGCACCUUUCCAACGUGAUCACCCCUUUCUGGUUCCAAGCAUCAAUCAAUCUCUCAUCCUGCUGAAUCCACCUCAGCUUGGCAACUUCCUGUCACAGCCUGGUCAGCUGCUCUAAAAGAUGACCAAGUUGGGCACACACCUGCACCCACAACACCCCUCACCUACCUCAGGCCCUUGGGUGACCUCCAGAUUCCAGAGGCUGAAUGGCAAGAAU